GGCUGGAACCCAAUUUCAAACCUUUUACAUUUGUGAGAAAUACAUUUUCUUUGCAAGUAAUCCCUUUUCCUGUACAUGUAAAUGAAUUUUUGGAGUUUUUCUCCGAGCAUUCUAUAUUAUUCUUGGUUAAAUUAUGGUGUGACUGAUUGUGCACACCCUGCAUGAAAAUUGCUUCGGAUAUGAUCUUCACAUUUUAAUAACAGAAGAAUUUAUUAAUUUUCUU
rnacentral:misc_RNA from 1 species